UACGUAGGUGACAAGCGUUGUCCGGAUUUACUGGGCGUAAAGAGCGCGCAGGCGGUCGAUCAAGUCGAGUGUGAAAGCCCCCGGCUCAACUGGGGAGGGUCAUUCGAUACUGAUCGACUCGAAGGCAGGAGAGGGUAGUGGAAUUCCCGGUGUAGUGGUGAAAUGCGUAGAUAUCGGGAGGAACACCAGUGGCGAAGGCAGGUCUCUGGGCCAUAACUGACGCUGAGAAGCGAAAGCAUGGGGGAGCGAACAGG
rnacentral:rRNA from 1 species